rnacentral:rRNA from 1 species
AUUGAACGCUGGCGGCAGGCCUAACACAUGCAAGUCGAGCGAGCGGCGGACGGGUGAGUAAUGUCUGGGAAACUGCCUGAUGGAGGGGGAUAACUACUGGAAACGGUAGCUAAUACCGCAUACCAUCAGAUGUGCCCAGAUGGGAUUAGCUAGUAGGUGGGGUAACUGCUCACCUAGGCGACGAUCCCUAGCGGGUCUGAGAGGAUGACCAGCAACACUGGAACUGAGACACGGUCAAGCCUCCUACGGGAGGCAGCGGUGGGGAAGAUUGCACAAUGGGCGCAAGCCUGAUGCAGCCAUGCCGCGGAUGUUAAGAAGGCCUUGGGUUUGUAAAGCACUUUCAGCGGGGAGGCGUUACCCGCAGAAGAAGCACCGGCUAACUCCGUGCCAGCAGCCGCGGUAAUUC